CGAAAUUCAUACCUGAGAGCUAUCUGACAAUUCGCGAAAAAGCGACAGAUUGCGACGCAUUCUUUAACUUUGACAAUUAUUUUGUAAAGGAAUGGAUGAACAAAAUUACGUGUGAAACUUUUAGCUGCUAUCGAGAAAAUAUAAGAACUACAAACUCGAUCGUAGGUUGGCAUCGAAGAAUAAAUAGUCGACUUCCAAAAAAACCAACUAUACAGUGUGGAAAGAUAAGUCGGGGCCUGGAGGGAAACUACCUUAAAUCCUUAAGCUGGCUCAUUUUACUUAAAGGAGACAUUCCUUUAUUUUUAAAAAGAAACAAAACUGCAUUCAAAGAUUUUUCUUUUUUUCUUCAAUUUGGCUUGUGUAAAAAAAUCUUGAGUACUAAAUAUUAGAUUUUAUGGAUAUUUUGUACGACAGACGAGUGUAAGACCUAAUGUUUCUAGGAGAAAUGUUAUCAUUAACAUUAACUGUCUCGACUAGUAGAAUAAAAUUGCGAGUGUUUAUUUUUUGGAAUUUUUAGUCGGUUCGAGUCCCGGACGAGGCAAGCGAGUUUUAGAAAAUCUUUGAAUGCAGUUUUGUUUCUUUUUAAAAAUAAAGGAAUGUCUCCUUUAAUUAAAAUGAGCCAGCUUAAUGAUUUAAGGUAGUUUUCCUCCAGGGCCCGACUUAUCUUUCCACACUGUAUAUUACUUUACUCAGAUCAGGAAGCCGCAAUUCAGGAUAAAAAAAAAUAGUACCUACAAUCUGAAUUUUCUUCAAAAACAAGCUGCGGUCAAAGAAGAUUGAAGAAAUUAAUAGAAAAAAUGAAUUAAUUAAUGAAAUAAUAACAAAUGUCGAAUCAAAUGAAAGCACACCUUUGGAAUGUUUAAAAAAUAAGCAGCUUAAAAAAUAUUUAAGAAUAAAAUAAUAAUGCCCACACAAUCAUGUUUAAUUCGUAGUGAGUACCUACAUAUCAAGUAAAAUUACUGUGUCUGUUACACACAAAGUUACUGAUGUAUUCUGUAUUUGUAACACGUAUUAAGUGUGUAUGUAAUUUACCCUUCUGGAACCCGUCACUGUUCAAAUUAGAUUUUGAGAUCGCGAUGUAUAAUGCAAUAAGAAAGAUAUAUCCAGACAGCCAAAUAUUUGGCUGCUACUAUCAUCCCUACUAUCGUCCCUCUACAAGCUAUUAAGAAGAAGGCUACUAUUAUUUGGUGAAAGAUGUGGUCAAAGGCAGAGAUGUGACUUAUUUGAAAUACUUGUAUUUAAAAUGUAAAUACAAAAUACAAAAUACCUAUUUUGUAUUUUCAAUUUAAAUACAUUUUGAAGAAAACUAUUUUGUAUUUUAUUUGAAAUAGUUUUUGGGACCUAUUUUAUAUUUUCUAAAUACAAAAUACUUUAUAGUAGGUAAUGUAGGUAGGAGUUUCAAUCCCUUCUGAUGUUACAAUCCUGGCAACUGUCUCGUUCUUUUAACAUGGAACUGUUGAAUCUGUUUAGUAACGUCGCACAUGACCACAAGCGUAGCGAGUGGUUAAAAAGCGGCCAAGUGCGAGUCGGACUCGGCCAUGAAGGGUUCCGUAGCAGCAAGUAACAUAAUAAAAUUGCGGUUUACGAUUUAUGACGUAUUAAAAAAAACUACUUACUAGAUCUCGUUCAAACCAAUUUUCGGUGGAAGUUUGCAUGUACAUCAUAUAUUUUUUUUUAGUUUAUCAUUCCCUUAUUUUAGAAGUUACAGGAAGAAGGGGGGGGGGGGGGGACACUUUACCACUUUGGAAGUGUCUCUUGCGCAAACUAUUCAGUUUAGAAAAAAAUGAUAUUAGAAACCUCAAUAUCAUUUUUGAAGACCUAUCCAUAGAUACCCCACACGUAUGGCAAGUAACAUAAUAAAAUUGCGGUUUACGAUUUAUGACGUAUUAAAAAAAAACUACUUACUAGAUCUCGUUCAAACCAAUUUUUGGUGGAAGUUUGCAUGGUAAUCUACAUCAUAUAUUUUUUUUAGUUUAAUCAUUCUCUUAUUUUUGAAGUUACAGGGGGGAGGGGGACACACAUUUUACCAAUUUGGAAGUGUCUCUCGCGCAAACAAUUCAGUUUAAAAAAAAAUGAUAUUAGAAACCUCAAUAUCAUUUUUGAAGACCUAUCCAUAGAUACCCCACACGUAUGGGUUUGAUGAAAAAAAAAAUUUUUGAGUUUCAGUUCUAAGUAUGGGGAACCCCCAAAAUGUAUUGUUUUUUUUUUCUAUUUUUGUGUGAAAA